rnacentral:lncRNA from 1 species
GCAGACCAAAGAUUAAUACCAAGCCUUUCCUAGAGGAGGAGCACCUACUUUUUUUUAUCUUUUUCUUUUGUACAAAAGAAUGAAUGUCUUUUUUGACUGAAAGCCACUAGCCAAAAGUGUGAUCUCAUGUGCUUAACGACUAUAUUCUUAGGACCAAUGGAGAAAUCACUUAGCUCCCACCAUUCUAUAUGUAAUAAAUUAUCCAAACUUAUACCAACUUUAUAGUGUCUGUAUUCUCCAGACAAGCUUCACCAUCAAAUUUUACUCACUCACAGUGUCAUUGGUGACCAA